rnacentral:lncRNA from 1 species
UUUGUUCAUUUUAUUGAUAUAUUCUCUUCCUCGGACGAAUGAUAAAAAAAAUACAUUUUUUUAGUAACAAAAAUUACAUGAUAAUACGUGCGUUGCACGUGCCAGCUGACUAGUAGUCAGACCAGUGUGCCAGUUGUAAGAGCUGUAUUAUAUAUGAAACGGGGGAGUAGAGUAGUACGUGAACUGUACAAAUCUGGGUUCGAAUAGAAACUGGUGACAUCGGAGAAACAAAUGCAAUUUUGACCGCUGUUUCUUGUUGUAAUAUAUGUAUGUGUGAACCGUAAUUUUUCGAUCGAUGCUCGAGAGAUGUUUCUUUUCUUUUGAUUUUCAAGUUUUACUUGAAAAUAAACAACAUCAGAGGUACACCGAUCCAAGACAUCAUUUUCUUUCAAAUUGAAGGAAGUGCACGACUAACACUAAUAACACUGGUGGUUGUUUUUGCAGCAUGACCCCGUAGCAAAAAAUCCGUUAAACUUCCUCACACUUCAUUUUGGCCUUGUUUGUAAAGAAACAAAAUCUUUAGGGCGGUAUGCACACAAAUGGUCGGGUCUUAGUUGCAAGAUUUUGUUAAUUUGCGUGGAUGGAAAAGGAGUUUUUUCUUUCUUUCUUUCUUGUUUGAAGGGAGUGACGGAAAAGGAAUUCAUUCGUUGAAAAGAAGAACAUAGUCACGCUGGGCCGACAUAUUAGAAGGGGGACUUACGACGAUUGUGCGAGAGAUAAGGUGCAUCAUGUAGUUCUAGUUCUAGUUAUCCAUCGAUAAUUCCGAAUGCCUUCCAUGCCUAUGCAUAUCCAAUUCGAAUCUCUAAUAUGAGAGUCACAAACAACUAUUGAGCAGAAUGGUACUA